UACGUAGGUCCCGAGCGUUUGUUCGGAAUCACUGGGCGUAAAGGGAGCGUAGGCGGCGCGGUAAGUCAGAUGUGAAAUCCCGGGGCUCAACCCCGGAACUGCAUCCGAUACUGCCGUGCUAGAGGAUUGGAGAGGUAGCUGGAAUUCUUGGUGUAGCAGUGAAAUGCGUGGAUAUCAAGAGGAACACUCGUGGCGAAAGCGAGCUACUGGACAACUCCUGACGCUGAGGCUACGAAGGCUAGGGUAGCGAAAGGG
rnacentral:rRNA from 1 species